UACGGAGGGUGCUAGCGUUGUUCGGAAUUACUGGGCGUAAAGGGCGCGUAGGCGGUUCGGUAAGUCCUGUGUGAAAUCCCUCGGCUCAACUGAGGAACUGCACGGGAGACUGCCGGGCUUGAGUUCGGGAGAGGGAAGCGGAAUUCCGGGUGUAGCGGUGAAAUGCGUAGAUAUCCGGAGGAACACCGGUGGCGAAGGCGGCUUCCUGGACCGACACUGACGCUGAGGCGCGAAAGCUAGGGGAGCAAACGGG
rnacentral:rRNA from 1 species